UUGAACGCUGGCGGCAUGCCUUACACAUGCAAGUCGAACGGCAGCACGGGGGCAACCCUGGUGGCGAGUGGCGAACGGGUGAGUAAUACAUCGGAACAUAUCCUGUCGUGGGGGAUAACUAAUCGAAAGGUUAGCUAAUACCGCAUACGCCCUGAGGGGGAAAGCGGGGGACCUUCGGGCCUCGCGCGAUUGGAGCGGCUGAUGUCGGAUUAGCUAGUUGGUGGGGUAAAGGCCUACCAAGGCGACGAUCCGUAGCUGGUCUGAGAGGAUGAUCAGCCACACUGGGACUGAGACACGGCCCAGACUCCUACGGGAGGCAGCAGUGGGGAAUUUUGGACAAUGGGCGCAAGCCUGAUCCAGCCAUGCCGCGUGAGUGAAGAAGGCCUUCGGGUUGUAAAGCUCUUUCAGACGGAAAGAAAUCGGGCGCGUGAAUAGCGUGCCUGGAUGACGGUACUGUCAGAAGAAGCACCGGCUAACUACGU
rnacentral:rRNA from 1 species